rnacentral:rRNA from 1 species
GACGAACGCUGGCGGCGUGCUUAACACAUGCGAGUCGAACGGUGAAGCGCCUUCCUUUUUGGUGGGUGUGGAUGAGUGGCGAACGGGUGAGUAACACGUGAGUAACCUGCCCCCUUCUUCUGGAUAACCGCAUGAAAGUGUGGCUAAUACGGGAUAUUCUGGGUCUGUCGCAUGAUGGGUCUGGGAAAGAUAUUGUUUCGGUGGGGGAUGGGCUCGCGGCCUAUCAGCUUGUUGGUGGGGUGAUGGCCUACCAAGGCGGUGACGGGUAGCCGGCCUGAGGGGGUGGACGGUCACACUGGGACUGAGACACGGCCCAGACUCCUACGGGAGGCAGCAGUGGGGAAUAUUGCACAAUGGGCGCAAGCCUGAUGCAGCGACGCCGCGUGAGGGAUGGAGGCCUUCGGGUUGUGAACCUCUUUCGCCAGUGAAGCAGGCCUGCCUCGUUUGUGGGUGGGUUGACGGUAGCUGGAUAAGAAGCGCCGGCUAACUACGUG